rnacentral:rRNA from 1 species
UACGUAGGUGGCAAGCGUUGUCCGGAAUUAUUGGGCGUAAAGCGCGCGCAGGCGGUUCUUUAAGUCUGAUGUGAAAGCCCACGGCUCAACCGUGGAGGGUCAUUGGAAACUGGGGAACUUGAGUACAGAAGAGGAAAGCGGAAUUCCACGUGUAGCGGUGAAAUGCGUAGAGAUGUGGAGGAACACCAGUGGCGAAGGCGGCUUUCUGGUCUGUAACUGACGCUGAGGCGCGAAAGCGUGGGGAGCAACAGG